UCCGUAGGCGGGCAAUUAAGUCAGAGGUGAAAUCCCACAGCUCAACUGUGGAACUGCCUUUGAUACUGGUUGUCUUGAGUUACAGUGAAGUAGAUAGAAUAUGUAGUGUAGCGGUGAAAUGCAUAGAUAUUACAUAGAAUACCGAUUGCGAAGGCAGUCUACUAACUGUAUACUGACGCUAAUGGACGAAAGCGUGGGGAGCGAACAGGAUUAGAUACCCGGUAGUCC
rnacentral:rRNA from 1 species